rnacentral:rRNA from 1 species
CCUACGGGAGGCAGCAGUGGGGAAUAUUGUACAAUGGGGGAAACGCUGAUGCAGCAACGCCGCGUGAGUGAUGACGGCCUUCGGGUUGUAAAGCUCUGUCUUCAGGGACGAUAAAGACGGUACCUGAGGAGGAAGCCACGGCUAACGACGUGCCAGCAGCCGCGGUAAUACGUAGGUGGCGCGCGUUGUCCGGAUUUACUGGGGGUAAAGGGAGCGGAGGCGGACUUUUAAGUGAGAUGUGAAAGACUCGGGCUCACCUGGAGUGCUGCAUUGCAAAGUGGAAGUCUAGAGUGCAGGAGAUGAGAAUGGAAUUGCUGGUGUAGCGGUGAAAUGCGUAGAGAUUAGGAAGAACACCAGUGGCGAAGGCGAUUCUCUGGACUGUAACUGACGCUGAGGCUCGAAAGCGUGGGGAGCAAACAGGAUUAGAUACCCGAGUAGUC